AUACUGCUGAAGAGUCCCAUAAUAGGACGAAACGGUCGUCCAGGUU
rfam:Schistosoma mansoni, Puerto Rico, WGS project CABG01000000 data, contig: 0392